UCGAGAAAUUCGGGGAUUGCCGAUUAGCGGUCUUUCGGGAUUGCUUUUUGGUGAGAACCAACUUAAUCGCAGUGGCUUGAACCGGGCAAAAGUCGUAACAAGGUGGCUGUAGGUGAACCUGCUGCCGGAUCAUUA
rnacentral:rRNA from 1 species